GACGAACGCUGGCGGCGUGCCUAAUACAUGCGAGUCGAACGCUUUUUCUUUCACCGGAGCUUGCUCCACCGAAAGAAAAAGAGUGGCGAACGGGUGAGUAACACGUGGGUAACCUGCCCAUCAGAAGGGGAUAACACUUGGAAACAGGUGCUAAUACCGUAUAACACUAUUUUCCGCAUGGAAGAAAGUUGAAAGGCGCUUUUGCGUCACUGAUGGAUGGACCCGCGGUGCAUUAGCUAGUUGGUGAGGUAACGGCACCAAGGCAACGAUGCAUAGCCGACCUGAGAGGGUGAUCGGCCACACUGGGACUGAGACACGGCCCAGACUCCUACGGGAGGUAGCAGUAGGGAAUCUUCGGCAAUGGACGAAAGUCUGACCGAGCAACGCCGCGUGAGUGAAGAAGGUUUUCGGAUCGUAAAACUCUGUUGUUAGAGAAGAACAAGGAUGAGAGUAGAACGUUCAUCCCUUGACGGUAUCUAACCAGAAAGCCACGGCUAACUACGUGCCAGCCGCCGCAGUAA
rnacentral:rRNA from 1 species